GUCGUGCCUGCGAAGAUAAGUCGAAUCCAACUUUGUGCUUUUUAUGGUUGGUGGUUCUCAAUCUCCUAUGGUCGUCUCCAUUUCGAUUCCAUGGAUAGACCCGCUCUCGCGAAACCCGGAGCCCGGAGGGCUGUCGACGUCGCCGUCGGCUGCCUCCACGGCUCUGGAGCUCAACGAGGAGAUGGGGGAGAAGAACCCUCGACCCCUCUCGAUCACGGUGAUAUCGCCAUGAAAACAUAUGGUCAUGCCUCAGAGACCCUACUUUGGAUGUUUGCACAUUCAUAGCUGAGAAGAAUGGUAUGACCUUCCAGCUGGAUUCCUUCUUAUUUGGUGAGAGGAGAUCACCUUUUUCGGCUACGUUGAUGGGGCCCUAAAGCAUUGGUUUUGCAGAGAUCUUUUUGCCUAGGCACACAUGCAGAACUGGUUGCUUUUGAACACAUUUAAGAAUGAAAGUCUAACUAAAAUUAAGGUAAUGGAGGGUUGGCAUUUCUUCAUAAUGCUUAUAUAAGUUAUAUGUUCUUUCAGCAAUAAACCAAGUACAUUCUGUCCAGGCUUUGUGCAGUCAUGAGAAAAUUAUUGUAUGAGCCUUAGAGUCUGACAUUAAGUUAAUGGAAGGUUAGCACUUCUUCAUUUUGCUUAUAUAUAAAAAUCUGUUGACAA